AGCUGCAGCAGGAACUGCCACAGGGUGAUGGCGCUGUCCAUAGCUGCAAAAAAAAAAAAAAAAAAAAAACAAGCGCACCCUUUGGUCUCGCACGCCGACCCCCAGCGUUGAUGCCAAUUUGGCACUUUUGUCGCUAGAUUCAGCAACUUUUCAGACUUCCGUUGCAACUUCCCCCCACUCCCAACAAAAAAAAAAAAAAUGCAUUGAGCAACAUAUUGAGCUCAAGUGAAUCAGAUUUAAAACAAGAAACAAUAUUUAAAAAAGGUUUUAUUCUUCCCCCCCGAACGGGUUUCCACAGCAUCUCACCUCAACUUAACCCGUUCGUGGGCAGCGUCCCAUUUUUGGGACAUCGUGAUUUUCACGCAUGAUAUCCUUCAGUAUAUCAAAAUAUUGACGUGUUUUAAUCUGGAGCCAUCGUUUGGUGUCAGGAGAGGCUAAGUCAUCGGCCAAAGUUAGCACGGCGUUAUUUCCCUUUCCUUCCUGACCCAACGUGGCUGCCUCAAGUAUACGUGGAGAAAAGGGACAAAGGUCAGUAUGCAACCAGGUUUGUCUUCAAAAUGCUAAUCCAUCAGUAUUAUUAAUGCAAAAGUGUCCUUCUAGAAUACGAAUCAAUUCGUAGGAUGUACCACUUCGCAGAACUGAUAACAUACCCGCUGCCCGCGAGAGGGUCCAUCUUUUUUGCCCUUUGUUUUAUUUCCUUGCUUGUGGCCUGUUAGGAGACUUUUGUCUCAAUAAGGUCAAAAAUUGCCACCCUGCCCAUCAAAGGGUAAAUGCCAAAGAUUUCAGUUCCAACAAGAAGUAGUUUUGGCAGUUUAUGAAGUUUUUUUUUUUUUUUUUCCUUUGUUAAAAAAGGGAGGCUUCAAGCGGUUUAUUGGCACACCUUGACGACGACGCUUCGGGUAUUUAACAAAAUUUCAGCUAAAGCAAAUUGGGAAACCCCGUCGAGGAAAGCGGCUAACAAAGCUAGCAUCAACGCUUUAGCUGGACCUCGGUUCUGUCCGCAAAGUCCUUUUCUCUCCUAGUUGCGGAUUUUCAGUGAUUGUGUGUGUGUGUGUGUGUGUGGGGGGGGGGGGGUCUGGCACAUAACACCCCCCAAAAAAAACGCAUGUCCAAUCUUAUUUAACUUUUUUUUUUUUAAGGGUCAACAAAGGAUGCAAAUGACGUUUCCCGUCGUCCGAGAUGCUGACACUUUUUUUUUUUUCCUUCCAUUUUUUCCCCCCGCGGUCGGCCCGACGUCGUAGCGAUCACGCAUUCCACUACGAAGGCAAUCAGCCAGGCCCGAGCCCGUCACACUUCCUGUGGAGCCCAAGCGAGCCAGAUUGGACCGCAAGCAUACUUCUGGCUUGAGCUGUUGUUCCUCCUCGUGGGCGCCUCUUUUUCCUUUUCUCCUUCUCCCGUCUGGACUCUUCCACACACACACUUGUAGUCAUCCCAGCACAUGGUCCCCGCUCCCAAACUAAAUUUAGUCCUAGCGGAGCUGAGUUGGGGGGCAACAGAGAUCAUUAAAAAGACAUUCAGUUUGAUUUGAGUGCUUCCUUGGGGGUCCGCGUCGCCAACUCAUUUUCAGGGAAUGUUGCCAGCGGCUUGAGGGGUCCAUUCUCGAUGAUGUCAUCGUGCAAUCAUGUACAACUGGGCCGACACUGAUCACGUUUUUAUCCGUCCGAGUAAUAUAAACGCAAAAACAAAAAAUUCCACGUUCCGUAUUUAACCGACACACAAACGUUUUUUCUUAAGACUUUCGCUCAAUCCAAAAUGUUAUAAACGUCAAUGUUACGGGAAUCAUGAAAUCUUUUAUUGGAACGCAAACGGAUCAUUUACAGCCAAACGUGGAUCUCUUAUCCUCUGCGGGAAAAAAUGAAAUUAAACUCUCCAAUUCCCUCGUCUGACCUUCCCUGGAAGCAAGAAGUCACGUGAUGGUAGCGGGACAUUAUUUUCAUCAAAAUGAAACUCUUCCACACACUCCAAAAUAUUUCUUUGCACCAAGACGCCACAAGAGCGAAGCCAAAGCACUACUUUUGUCUAAAUGAAAGUCCAGUUUGAAUUUGCGGAUUUCCUGCACGACAAAAUCAUUUGAAUUGAUUUCCCAGGAAGGAUUUCAUCACGGAAGACGGACGACCGCGGCGCCUUUGGCGUGCCGCAGCUUUCCCGUCACGCCUGUUUAUUGUUGACAGGUGAGCGCUGCUAAGUGACGUUUGCCAAGAGUGGGGGAAUGGGAGGGGGGGGGGGGGCAACGGAAGGGCGACGUCGCACGGAACCGCUUUCCGCCGCACGCCAUCCGCUGACUUUUCGAUGAGCCGUGUGAAACCACAACGUUGUCAAAAUCAGGACUUCCUGCCAUUCUGCUUCCAAGGACAAAUGGCCGAAAGGAGGGGAUCAGAGGGGGGGGUGGGGGUGGGGGGGGGGGGGGGCGCUACAGCAUGCCUCCCGCCGGUGAAAACAUCAUCAUCAUCAUCAUCAUCAUCAUGUGAAGCUAGCACAACGCCCGGCAUGUGAAAGAAGCAACGAAACAUCCCAAAUAUGACGCAUGGAUGUGCUGUUUGGUGUAGUACCACAUUGGGCCAGUGCAUGGCAGCACUGAGCUUUACUGGCAGAGGAGCAACAUAUUGAAGAGCAAGAAAAAGAGGCAGAGAAGAUCCUCAACUAAUCUGCAGAGGUUUUGCCCACUCGUUGCAGAGAAAAGAGAAAAAAAGACGCAAUGUUGGUGGCUUUACAAUUAGUUCAGCAUCUGUGCUAGUUUCCGUUAGCCUUCAAUUUUCCCAUUAAUCUGGCAGAUUUUCACGAGACAAAAUGGUGUUGAAUUAUUUAACAUUUGAUUCAAACCCAAAUCAAUGCCUUGCUUUCAAUCAAAGUUGGAGCUACUGUGACUACUCAACACACAAAAAAAUUCUUUACAUUUUAGAACUAAUAUUUUACAAUAUUGCUCUUAAAAUUGUUAUUUUAAGUGGCACAUCUAUAGAUUUCUAGCUAAAUAACACUAAAUUAAAAAAAUUCUAUUUAACCGUCAACUUUUACACUUAAGAAUUUCAAAAUUGAUUUAGAAUUUUAAAAAAAAAAAAAAGUGUACAAAUUUCAUGUCAACAAAAUUAGAAUUAUUAACUUAUACAAGUAUAUACUUUUACAGGUAGAUACUAGGAUAGCGCGACACCAAAAUUGAAAUUAUGAAAAUGCAUUCUUUGUAAUAGUUUUGUAGGAACACAAACAAGCAUGUCAACAUUUUUCCUCUUCAAAAGUGUGUUUUGGUUCUUUUGGGUCAUCCGGAAUACGCCGAUGAUGCGUUUUUUUGUUGCCCCCCCCAAGCGGGUCGGCGGUCCCCUUCCGUUUGGACGGCUCACGAAGGCGGCCCAACGGAACGUUUUUGUCAGAUUGGCGAGCGCAUCUCAAGUCCACGUUGUGGUUUCUUCAGCAUUCAUCAACUUCCUUUGCUGCUAUCGCAAUCGUCGUCGUUAUUGCUUUAUUUGUUUUCUUUUAGCUUCUGAGUUGUUAUUAUUGUUGAACCACUUUCGGUUCUUGGUCAUUUCCUCAAAUGUUACGAUUUUGCAAUUUGCACGAGUACACAGUAUAUUGUAUUCGAUUGUAACUUCUGGUUCUGUUGUGGCCACUUUGGGCCAGUUGAAAUCCACCAAGCCUCCAUAACUCCUAACUCCUUGUUAUUAGCGGUUGCAGUCAUAAUGUUUGGGUAAAACGUGCGUGCGUGCGUGCGUGCGUUCGUUCGUUCGUUCUCGAUUCAACGCGUGACUUUUUGGUUUUAGACCAGAUGACAUCAUUCAUCCAGUUCGGGGCAAGGCUGCAACUUCACGUCAUAGUUCGCGAAAGAGGCCCUUUCAUGGAAACUUGGGACUAUUAGCAAAAAAAAAAGACAAACGGCACAACGGAGAAUACGUAAACGCGUCAGUUUUCAGCUCGUUUUCCAACAUUUGCAUCGUGCAAAAAAAAAAAAAAAAAAGUGCAUUAGUACAAUAUGCAGUCCCCCUCCCCACCCCCCCCAAAAAAACGUUCUUUUUUCCACUAGACUAGGUUUUGUAGUUAUUCCCUCUCUUUAAUUUUAAUAAACGAAGUGAAGAAAAAAAAUCCCAAAUGCAUGUACGUGGCAAAAGAUUGCUAAGAAGUCUCAAUGAGGUUUUUUUUUUUUUUUUUUU